UUGAGUUCGGAUGAGGGAGAUAUGCUCGUUUUAAGUCAGUCUGUUCGAUUAAGGAAAUUUAUCCAAAUUAAUGAGGAGUAUUUUUCUUUUCCUUACCCCAUCAACUUUAAACUAUUUUAGUAAUAUUUUAGGGGUCUAAACUAAUUUAAGUCAGCUUUCAUAAUUCUAAAAUACGCUUAAGAUUUAUAGGAGUUCAAGAGGAGGAAACAAGGAGGAGUUCAAGUGUUUGCUAAGAUUUCUUGUGAAUCGAGGAUUUGUUUCGCCAAAUCAAGAAAUGACGCACAUCAGCCUUGAGUUCCUUAUGAGCAUCCUGUGGAACUUUAGCAGUGUUAUAGUUAAUUUGAAAUGGUCCAUACUCAAGAGGCAAUGAGUUCAUAAAGAACUGAACCAAGAAUGUGUCAUCGACUUUCAUCCCCAAGGUUCGGAGUCUUGCUGCAAUGUUAGUCAUCUCGAUGAUAUGAUUUUGCAUAUUACGCGACCCAUCAAACUUCAUGGUCGUGAGUUCAUCCAUUAGUGUACCCAACGAGAGACUUAUCAGCAGAACAAAAACGUUUUUCCACUAACUUCAAGUAUUUCCUGGCACUUUCUGUUUGUAGAAUAGUACUCAUAAUGUUAUUAGAAACAAUAAUUCACAUAAACAUAAGGCUCAAUCUGUUAGAGCGUUCCCAUGAUUUAUGAAAAGACUUCUCAGCCUCACUGCUCUUAUCAGUAAUAAUAGUAGGUUUGUCAUUCAGCAAAGUCAAGUCAAGAUCCAUAACACCUAAGUAGAACUGGACUUGUUCAUGUCAUUCAGAGAAGUUCAAUCCAUUGAACACAGUAACAGACGAAGCAUGCGAAUGAAGAAGAAUAACUGCAAAUAAAUACAUGCUCACAAAUCAAAAAGAUAAUGUGAAUUCAGUAAAAUGAUAUGAAUAUAUCGUAAUUCUCCUUUGUGUAGAUACUACGACACAUUAUCAUAAUUUAGAUGUCAUUUUAUCUUUUAAUAGGUAAUUGAAUAAUUUUCAAUCAAACAUAUACGACAUCUUUGGAUAUAUAAUAUACAUUUGACUAAAAAUAUUAAUUUACCUCAUAAUUUUCACUAUUUUUAGAAUGAUAGAUUCACCUUUGGCUAAAACUUUUUUAAGUUCUAGCAAUAGUGAAAGUCAAUUUAUCUAUUUAUUUUUCAAUAUAGGCAUUUAAUUAACCUUCACAGAUAAAUGACAAUUUUAUGAGUGCAUAUUUUUUUUCUUAAUCAUACUAGUUUGGCCACUUUGGUGACUGACAAGUUAUAUGAAUAUAAAUGCAUACAUAAUCUCAUAAAAUUUUGAGCAUGUGAAUAAUUUUAAACAUUUUAGUUUGAGCACUUUGGUGACUAACAAACUAUAGACUCAUAAUAGAUUCAUCAAGUGAUCAUAAACAUGAUAUGUUUAGACGUUAGUUUUCUCUAGUUUGAUCACUUUGGUGACUAACAAACUAUAUAAAUACAAAGCACACAUAACAUCAUAAAAUUUUGUCAAUAUGAAUAAUUUCAAACAUUUUAGUUUGGUCACUUUGGUGACUAACAAACUGUAGAAAUAUAAUUCAUGCAUCAAGUGAUCUAUAUGUGUAGACGUUAAGUUCUCUAGUUUGGCCACUUUGGUGACUAACAAAUUAUAUAAAUAUAUAAAACA